UCUUGAUAUAUUCUAGAUGCUAAUCUUUUGUCAGUUACACAUCGUGGGAAGUAGAAAAGUUCCCCUUCAAAGUUUCUUUUCUUGUUAAAGGAUAAUAAUAAUAAAUGUUAGAAAUAAUAGUCUCUUUUAAAGACUAACUUUCUUCAAAGCCUUCUUGCUGUUUACUAGUGACUCUGUUCAUAAGCCCUGGCCUAUGUAGCUGUUAGAUACAGAAGAGUAAGUACAUUCUAUGUCCUUUUGCUUCGACCAGGAUAUUUAUGCGAGACCUGCUCACAAGCACAUAGAACAUUCUGUGUCCUUGUACUUUAACAAAGGUUGAACGAGACAUCUACGUUGGCAGUCUUGGGGACUCCUGCAGGUCAGUAGUCCCCCGGCAGACGUGCCGGACCCCAACACCAGUCUCAUUUGUU
rnacentral:lncRNA from 13 species